rnacentral:misc_RNA from 1 species
UCUCCGUAGGUGAACCUGCGGAGGGAUCAUUACAGAGUUCAUGCCCUACCGGGUAGAUCUCCCACCCUAUGUUAUUAUUACUGUGUUGCUUUGGCGGGCCGUUAGGCUCCGGCCCGACUACCGGCCCCGGCUGGUAAGCGCCCGCCAGAGGACCCAAAACCCUGAAUAUUAGUGUCGUAUGAGUACUAUAUAAUAGUUAAAACUUUCAACAACGGAUCUCUUGGUUCUG